CUUAUUGCAAAGGAUUUUUGAGAAAUGUGAUGAAAACUUUUGUAAUAUAUAGACCCGUUUGGUUCUUAAAAUGAUCCAUCACCUUGAGCACAGUGUCAAUUGAAUUUCGUAUUUCUGAAGGAGAUCCCGUGAGAAAUAAUGUGAAAUCCUCCGCCAAUAACUGUAUGUCUUAGUUCUGUUUCCAUAACUUUGAUGUUCUUGGAAGAUGACAGGGUCUCAUGGAGGCAAUUUAUGGCUACUAGGAAAAGUGACGGAAUAAGAGGCCUUCCCUGCAGAAAGCCUCUCUCCACUAUGAAAGCUUCCUCCCUACACCCAGAAUCCAAGGAGCACGUAGUGUUUCUUAAAACUGAAGAUAUCAUUUCUACAAGUCUAACAGGAAGCGCGUAUUUGAGGAGUUGGGUAACUAUGAAUUUGUAAGAAAUUGAUUCAAACGCUCCUUGGAAAUCAAUAUUUAUAGUUUUUUAUUCUAUUUUACUGUAAUUUGUUUCUUCUAUAGCGUCUUUUAUUGAUCUGGGGAUGUCAUCCGCAUUGCGACCUUUUAUAACCCCUUUCUAAUUUUUUAAUAAAAAAGUUGGAAGGAAUCCGAACAACCUUUGGUUUAAGAUCCCCAAUAAUAUUAUAUAUUAUGUAUUCAAUAACGUGAUUGGUUUUUAUUUUUUAUUUGAAGUGGGUCUUUUUCUUUCUUGAGGAUUAGAAUGACGAUGCCUCUGUUUAUAAACUCUGGGACAUAUCACAAUAUGACUAUAUUUCAAUUCAAGAAUUAAUAAUUAUUAUUCGGUCUUGGUCAAGUACAGUUCAGUCCAAAUAUCAGUCCUAAAACUAAUUUUAUGACGUCUAUCCACUUUUUUUUAUUAAGUUCUAGAACUGUCUGUCCGAAGAAUCGACAGUCUAAUGUACCAGUUCAAAAGACUGAUAGGACUGGAAUGGACCGAAUAGAUAUAGACUGACAACACUAUUUAUAUGUAUAAUACUAUUUCACUAUGUAGAAGAUCAUAUCUCUGUGAUUUUUUUGUAUAUAAAAGGCAAUCUAUCAAAUUUUACUUCUUUAUAUUAAUCUCUCGAAACCUUCAUCAAUAAAAAAUAGUCAUGGGUCAUUA
rnacentral:lncRNA from 1 species